UGCAAGUCGAACGAGACCUUCGGGUCUAGUGGCGCACGGGUGAGUAACGCGUGGAAACCUACCAUUCUGUACGGAAUAACGAUUGGAAACGAUCGCUAAUACCGUAUACGCCCUGUGGGGGAAAGGUCCGCCGCAGAAUGAGGGGUCCGCGUCCGAUUAGCUUGUUGGUGGGGUAAAAGCCUACCAAGGCGAUGAUCGGUAGCUGGUCUGAGAGGAUGAUCAGCCACACUGGGACUGAGACACGGCCCAGACUCCUACGGGAGGCAGCAGUGGGGAAUAUUGGACAAUGGGGGCAACCCUGAUCCAGCAAUGCCGCGUGUGUGAAGAAGGCCUUAGGGUUGUAAAGCACUUUCAAUGGUGAAGAUGAUGACGGUAGCCGUAGAAGAAGCCCCGGCUAAACUUCGUGCCAGCAGCCCGCGGUAAUACCGAAGGGGGCGAGCGUUGUUCGGAAUUUACUGGGCGUAAAGGGCGCGCAGGCGGCCAAUCCAGUCAGGUGUGAAAGCCCCGGGCUUAACCUGGGAACUGCACUUGAUACUGAUUGGCUAGAAACGGAAGAAGGCAGUGAAAUUCCC
rnacentral:rRNA from 1 species